rnacentral:rRNA from 1 species
UACGUAGGGUGCAGGCGUUAAUCGGAAUUACUGGGCGUAAAGCGUGCGCAGGCGGUUUUGUAAGCCAGAUGUGAAAUCCCCGGGCUUAACCUGGGAAUGGCAUUUGGGACUGCAAGGCUGGAGUGUGGCAGAGGAGACUGGAAUUCCUGGUGUAGCAGUGAAAUGCGUAGAUAUGUGGAGGAACACCGAUGGCGAAGGCAGCCUCCUGGGCCAAUACUGACGCUCAUGCACGAAAGCGUGGGGAGCAAACAGG